rnacentral:rRNA from 1 species
CACGAACGCUGGCGGCAGGCUUAACACAUGCAAGUCGAGCGCCCCGCAAGGGGAGCGGCAGACGGGUGAGUAACGCGUGGGAAUCUACCCAUCUCUACGGAAUAACGCAUGGAAACGUGUGCUAAUACCGUAUACGUCCUUCGGGAGAAAGAUUUAUCGGAGAUGGAUGAGCCCGCGUUGGAUUAGCUAGUUGGUAGGGUAAAGGCCUACCAAGGCGACGAUCCAUAGCUGGUCUGAGAGGAUGAUCAGCCACACUGGGACUGGGACACGGCCCAGACGCCUACGGGAGGCAGCAGUGGGGAAUAUUGGACAAUGGGCGCAAGCCUGAUCCAGCCAGGCCGCGUGAGUGAUGAAGGCCCUAGGGUUGUAAAGCUCUUUCACCGGUGAAGAUAAUGACGGUAACCGGAGAAGAAGCCCCGGCUAACUUCGUGCCAGCAGCCGCCGUAAUAC